rnacentral:rRNA from 1 species
AGUAUGUGGACGUAGACCCGAAACCGUGUGAUCUACCCCUGUCCAGGGUGAAGGUGCGGUAACACGCACUGGAGGCCCGAACCCACGUACGUUGAAAAGUGCGGGGAUGAGGUGGGGGUAGCGGAGAAAUUCCAAUCGAACUCGGAGAUAGCUGGUUCUCCCCGAAAUAGCUUUAGGGCUAGCCUCGGUAUAAAAGUAGUGGAGGUAGAGCACUGAUUGGGUGCGGGGCCCGCAAGGGUUACCAAGCUCAGUCAAACUCCGAAUGCCAUAUACUU